UACAGAGGUCUCAAGCGUUGUUCGGAUUCAUUGGGCGUAAAGGGUGCGUAGGUGGCGGGGUAAGUCAGGUGUGAAAUUUCGGAGCUUAACUCCGAAACUGCAUUUGAUACUGCCUUGCUUGAGGACUGGAGAGGAGACUGGAAUUCACGGUGUAGCAGUGAAAUGCGUAGAUAUCGUGAGGAAGACCAGUGGCGAAGGCGGGUCUCUGGACAGUUCCUGACACUGAGGCAGCGAAGGC
rnacentral:rRNA from 1 species